AGUUACUUAGGUUAAAAAAACUUUUGAUUUUGUAACUCAAAGAUGAUGAAUUUCAGUAACUU
rnacentral:tRNA from 2 species